GGCUCGUUGGUCUAGGGGUAUGAUUCUCGCUUUGGGUGAGAGAGGUCCGGGUUCAAAUCCCGGACGAGAGCCC
rnacentral:tRNA from 1 species